rnacentral:rRNA from 1 species
UACAGAGGUCUCAAGCGUUGUUCGGAUUCAUUGGGCGUAAAGGGUGUGUAGGUGGCGCCGUAAGUCGGGUGUGAAAUUUCGGAGCUUAACUCCGAAACUGCAUUCGAUACUGCGGUGCUUGAGGACUGGAGAGGAGACUGGAAUUCAUGGUGUAGCAGUGAAAUGCGUAGAUAUCGUAAGGAAGACCAGUGGCGAAGGCGGGUCUCUGGGCCGAUACUGACGCUGAGGAGCGAAAGCGUGGGGAGCGAACAGG